rnacentral:lncRNA from 1 species
GGAAACUGCUUCUCUUCUUUGCUAUACAGCUGGCAGGCUUGCAGUGUUGCAGAGUAGUGAUGCUCCAUUAGCCCUCCCAUAUCUGACUGAAACCUCUGCAGGAUCCCAGAUCCCUUUCUAGUGUUCCAGCCUUCAGGAUCCUGGUGCACCCCCAGAAGCUCCCCAGUCCCCACUGCGCAGCCUGCAGGAUCCUGCCGACAUCAACUGAAAGCACGAAACUGCAACAGGAAGAGACGCAUCUCGAGAGGAACUUGCACACCAGCAUCUACACAUCUUGA